rnacentral:rRNA from 1 species
UACGUAGGUGGCAAGCGUUGUCCGGAUUUACUGGGCGUAAAGAGCGCGCAGGCGGUCGUUCAAGUCGCGUGUGAAAGCCCCCGGCUCAACUGGGGAGGGUCACUUGAUACUGAUCGACUGGAAGGCAGGAGAGGGAAGCGGAAUUCCCGGUGUAGUGGUGGAAUGCGUAGAUAUCGGGAGGAACACCAGUGGCGAAGGCGGCUUCCUGGCCUGUUCUUGACGCUGAGGCGCGAAAGCUAGGGGAGCAAACGGG